rnacentral:lncRNA from 1 species
UAUGAUUUCGAAUAACUAAUUGAAUUUUUUAAGAUUUUGAAGAAUUCAUUGAAUUUUAAGCAAAAAAAUUACAAAAGUGAAUAAAAAGGAUGAUAACUUUUUUUUUGGUGCAUAUAAUUCUAACUUUUUAUUUAUUACAUAAAUAAAUUCUAAAGCUUGAAUAAAGCAAAUAAAAACGAAAUUUUUUAUAGCAAUAUUCAUUAUUGCCUAAAAAAAUAGUAACAAAGUGAUUAUAAAUCCAUGAUUUUCUAAGUAGCAUUUCUCCACAUAUCUGAACCUAUAUUAGUCCUCCAUAAAUUUGCAUCUUCUCGUUCCUGCUCUUGUGUUUGAACAAUGGGUUCAUAAUUAUUGUCUUCAUGAUUUGGUAACACUGAAGAUGAGGAUGAAGACUCAUCCGUAGGUUCGA